AGUUGCGCCCGAUGCCAUUAGGUUGAGGGCACGUCUGCCUGGGCGUCACAUAUCGAAGCCUCUUGCCAAUUUCCUAUCCAUAGGCAUUGUGCAGGGUGAAUGUUGGCCUCCCGUGAGCUAUAUUGUCUCAUGGUUGGUUGAAAACUGAGUCGUUGCUAGGGUGUGCCAUGAUAGAUGGUGGAUGUGUUACGCACGAGAGACCAAAUCAUGUGUGUACUCUAUCGAAUUCAGCCUCUUUUACCCACAUGCGUUUCUAAACGCUCGUGAUGAGACCUCAGGUCAGGCGGGGCUACCCGCUGAAUUUAAGCAUAUCAAUAAGCGGAGGAAAAGAAACUAACAAGGAUUCCCUUAGUAACGGCGAGCGAACCGGGAUAAGCCCACCAUGAUAAUCGGUCGCCCUCGGCGUUCGA
rnacentral:rRNA from 1 species